rnacentral:lncRNA from 1 species
CACAGCUUAUGUUUGAACCAUUUAUUUUGUUUUAUCCUGAAAUGCUUAUUUUAAGGACUUGCUAUUUACAUAGGGGAGCAUAUGGAAUAUUAUAGGUUAGGCAUGAACUAAAUAAGGACAAAAUCUUAGACGAUAUUACAGAAAAUUGACAUUAAGCCAUAGCCACUGUUCUAUCUUGGACAUGUGACAAUGAUUACCUGUCUGUCAUCAUUAAGCUCACCACACCACCUAGAGACCUGAACAAUUCUGAGACACAGUAUAAAUGUGCAAGCCAGAUGUUCUUUGGAGGAGUUGAUCUCCAGGAUACAAGGCUCUUCAUCUGGAUCCUAAAUGAUCAACAUGAAACUGAUUAUUCUCUACUCACUUGUGGGAUUCUUCAUCAUUUGCAACAGUGAAAUAAAUGUGGAAAGUAACAGUAAAAAUAAUGAUGUCAACCUUGGAAAUGUAACCUUCAAAUUGUAUGCAUCUGCAAAGCACAUGUCUAGAAUUAAUGAAUCUGGAAGAAAUAUGCUUAACGUUUUAAUGUCUGG